AUACGGAGGAUCCGAGCGUUAUCCGGAUUUAUUGGGUUUAAAGGGAGCGUAGGUGGAUUGUUAAGUCAGUUGUGAAAGUUUGCGGCUCAACCGUAAAAUUGCAGUUGAAACUGGCAGUCUUGAGUACAGUAGAGGUGGGCGGAAUUCGUGGUGUAGCGGUGAAAUGCUUAGAUAUCACGAGGAACUCCGAUUGCGAAGGCAGCCUGCUAAGCUGCAACUGACAUUGAGGCUCGAAAGUGUGGGUAUCAAACAGGAUUAGAUACCCUGGUAGUCCACACGGUAAACGAUGAAUACUCGCUGUUUGCGAUACACGGUAAGCGGCCAAGCGAAAGCGUUAAGUAUUCCACCUGGGGAGUACGCCGGCAACGGUGAAACUCAAAGGAAUUGACGGGG
rnacentral:rRNA from 1 species